AGGGCAGACUAAAACAUCCCGAGGUACUCAUCUUCCCUGACUAGCCUGUUUAAGCAAUUCUAAGUUGCAACUUGAUUUCCCCUUUUUACCCUGUAAUUCUGAAACUGUAAUGUGAUAUGGUAAAUGAGCUCCCUCUAAGGAUCUGAACUGUAGAAGGAAGGAAGGAAGGAAGGAAGGAAGGAAGGAAGGAAGGAAGGAAGGAAGGAAGGAAGGGAUGGAAGAGGGAGGGAGGGAAGGAGGGAGGCAGGAAGCAAAAGAAGAAAAAAGAGAACAGAAGAAAGGAAGGGAAAGAAAGAGAAAGAAGAAAGAGGAAGGAAGGCAGGAAAGGAGAAAGAAAAGGAAAGAGAAGGAAAAAAGAAAAAGAGGGAGGGAGGAAGGAAAGAAAGAAUAAAGAAGCAAGGAAAAAAGGAAAGAAGGAAGGAAGGAAGAGAAAGGAAGAAAUUUAUGGCAAGUGUUUUUUGUUUUUUUUUUUUUUUUGCAGUGGCAUGAUCUCAUCUCACUGCAACCUUCACCUACUGAGUUCAAGCGAUUCUCCUGCCUCAGCCUCCCAAGUAGCUUGGAUUACAGGCAUGCACCACGAUGUCUGGCUAACUUUUUAUAUUUUUAGUAGCGAUAGGGUCUCACCAUGUUGGCCAGUCUGGUCUCCGACUCCUGACCUCAGGUGAUCUGCCUACUUCGGCUUCCCAAAGUGCUGGGAUUACGGAUGUAAGCCACUGUGCCCAGCCACAAGUGGUCUUUUAUAACAUAUAUUGUGGUUUCUACCAUGAAGCCUGGUUUGGAAUUGUAGGAACAAUGAAAUCUGACUUUUAGGAACAUUUUUCCUAAUCCCCAAGUGUGCACCAGCUGGAGAAUUCCCUUCCAUACAGUCCUCACUGAGAAAGCUGAUGAUGCUUCCGACACCUGUCUCCUAUUAGGGGCAAUCCCUCUGCCAUGUGCUCUACCAGGCAGUAUCCCUCCUCCACUGUGGAAUUUUCCAGGUCUUAAAUAAC
rnacentral:lncRNA from 1 species